rnacentral:rRNA from 1 species
GAUGAACGGCUAGCGGCAGGCCUAAUACAUGCAAGUCGAAACGAGAUUCUUUUCUUCGGAAGAGAUGACAGUGGCGCACGGGUGCGUAACGCGUAUGCAACCUACCUUUUACUGGGGGAUAGCCCGGAGAAAUUCGGAUUAAUACCCCAUGGUAUUCCAAGAUGGCAUCUGAAAGGAAUUAAAGAUUUAUUGGUAAAAGAUGGGCAUGCGUGACAUUAGCUAGUUGGUAAGGUAACGGCUUACCAAGGCAACGAUGUCUAGGGGUUCUGAGAGGAUGAUCCCCCACACUGGUACUGAGAUACGGACCAGACUCCUACGGGAGGCAGCAGUAGGGAAUAUUGGUCAAUGGGCGAGAGCCUGAACCAGCCAUGCCGCGUGCAGGAAGACGGCUUUCUGAGUUGUAAACUGCUUUUAUAUGGGAAGAAAAAGGCCAUGCGUGGCAAAUUGCCGGUACCAUAUGAAUAAGCACCGGCUAACUCCGUGCCAGCAGCCGCGGUAAUACGGAGGGUGCAAGCGUUGUCCGGAUUUAUUGGGUUUAAAGGGUGCGUAGGCGGAUCUUUAAGUCAGUGGUGAAAUCCUGCAGCUUAACUGUAGAACUGCCAUUGAUACUGGAGGUCUUGAGUAUACUAGAGGUAGGCGGAAUUUAUGGUGUAGCGGUGAAAUGCAUAGAUACCAUAAAGAACACCAAUAGCGUAGGCAGCUUACUGGAGUAUAACUGACGCUGA